rnacentral:rRNA from 1 species
GACGAACGCUGGCGGCGUGCUUAACACAUGCAAGUCGAACGAUGAACCAGGAGCUUGCUCCGGUGGAUUAGUGGCGAACGGGUGAGUAACACGUGAGUAACCUGCCCUUGAGUCUGGGAUACGUGCGGGAAACUGUAGCUAAUACCGGAUACGACCCUCGGCGGCAUCGCCAGGGGGUGGAAAGAAUUUCGGUCAAGGAUGGACUCGCGGCCUAUCAGCUAGUUGGUGAGGUAACGGCUCACCAAGGCGACGACGGGUAGCCGGCCUGAGAGGGUGACCGGCCACACUGGGACUGAGACACGGCCCAGACUCCUACGGGAGGCAGCAGUGGGGAAUAUUGCACAAUGGGCGCAAGCCUGAUGCAGCAACGCCGCGUGAGGGAUGACGGCCUUCGGGUUGUAAACCUCUUUUAGUAGGGAAGAAGCGAAAGUGACGGUACCUGCAGAAAAAGCACCGGCUAACUACGUGCCAGCAGCCGCGGUAA